UUUUCAUGAAGUUUUUAGUGCAUCUUAGAUCUAAUUGCAUGAUUUAAUCAUUCUUUUGAACCAUUGUGUUAUUUCGAGAUACUUUCGGCUCUUUUAUGUGAUUUUCAGGUUCUUGAGGUCGAUUGUGACUAAGAGAAGCUAAUAUGGUUCAUAGAUGGUCUACAUGGCAGUUUCUGGAUGCGAGAAGAUGAGUUUGAGUGCUUUGGGGUUGAAGGAAUGAUGAUAUUGAAGAAUACUUUCUUUGCGGGACCAAGCAGAAUCUCACUUGCCCACGCACCAAGGCGCACGCCCAAGCGAGAUCCCGCUUGCACGUGCGAUGUUGCAAGCCAAAACAUCAAAAUCCUUCUGUUUCGCGUGCACGCCCAAGCAGGAUUCUACUUGCCCGUGCACUGUGCUGCACGCCUGUGCAGCUUCUUGCUUGCCCUUGCACGCUGCUACCGAUCUAUUUUCGCGACUCUUAUUGUAACACCCCGUAUUUUUAUACAUGUUUAGUAAUUAAUUAUAUUAUUUUAGUUUAUAAAAAAAAUAAUUUAAAAAAUAUUUUAUUAAAUAUAUUUUAUUUCUCACUUAUUGACUUUACCUUAGAAGGGUCUAAAAAAAAAAUUCCAAGUUUGACUAGGUUAAGUACCAUAGAUUUAGUUAAACUAUGUUCUAAAAGAAAAGAGAAAGAAAGAAAAAAAAGAGAAAAAGAAAGUAAAAAAAAAAAAAAAACAACAUAAGAAGAUAGAGUGCUGCUAACCUCCUCACAACCUACGAGCAGCAUUCUGCUUUCUUUAAAAAAAUAAAAAACUCUUGCUUGAAACUCCAUCGAAGCUACAAAAGAAAAAAACUAAAAGAAAAGAUCAUCAUCAAUAUCUAUCACACAUCAACUUGAUCCAUCAUCUCCAUCUUCACUUGGUUAGUGGAUAUUUCAAAGAGAGAGAAUUGGGUUUUAUACUUGAAAUUUUCGGGUCGAAAAUCGGAUCAAGAAGACGAAUUCAGGGUCUUUUUACACUCUUCUACGUUCUAAUUGCGUUAUUAAUCAAAUCGCGGGUUCGUAGAAGAACCCUUUUGACUUGUAAUUGAGAUUGAUUGAUAGUGGUUUGCUAAUAAGGGCUUGAUGGUGACUAGCUUAUAUUGGGGUGAGACCGUUGACUUCACCUAGAUGUAGAUUUGUUAAAGUUAAGACUUCCGCUGCAAUGGAUUAGAAUUAUGGUUUGUUAUAGGAGUGUAUUAAUUAAUUUCAUUUUCUUUUAGUUGUAAUAGUUAAUAAUUAAUUUAUGUAUUAGUAGUAGUACCUUUCGCUUUGCUGUUAUUAAGUGCUUAAUAACCGCGGCAUAACAACUCUUGAAU